rnacentral:sRNA from 1 species
GACCCGCCGCGGGGCUGCGUGGGCAACACCAACAUCUGGAAGACUGGGCCGCUCUUCAAGAGAGUGCUGAUGUCUUCCAAGUAUGCGGACGGGGUGACUGGUCGCGUGGAGUUCAAUGAGGAUGGGGACCGGAAGUUCGCCAACUACAGCAUCAUGAACCUGCAGAACCGCAAGCUGGUGCAAGUGGGCAUCUACAAUGGCACCCACGUAGGUGGGGGUCAUGAGGGGGUGGGGGCUGGGGCCUUAGGGUCCUGGGGCCAAGACCCCUGCGUGGCCACCCUCCAUCUCAUACUCCCACCCCCAGGUGAUCCCUAAUGACAGGAAGAUCAUCUGGCCAGGCGGAGAGACAGAGAAGCCUCGAGGGUACCAGAUGUCCACCAGACUGAAGGUGCGGGCCCCAC